rnacentral:rRNA from 1 species
AUGGACAUGGACCAACUCUCUUGCGGAAGUUUGUGUCUAAUGGCCAUAGCCACGAUUCUCUUGUCUUUGAUUCUGAGGCAGGCUAUGGGUGGUACUAAGGAGACAGGACCGAAGCUUCCUCCAGGUCCAUGGAACCUCCCCUUCAUCGGGAGCCUCCAUCACCUCAUCGGCAUGAAACUGCCGCCGCACCGGGCAUUUCUCCGCCUGUCGCGUCGGCACGGCCCGCUGAUGCUGCUGAGGCUCGGCGAAGUGCCCAACGUCAUCGUGUCCACCCCAGAGGCGGCGAUGGAGGUGCUCAAGACGAACGACCUCGCCUUCGCGACCCGUCCGAGCGGCCCCACGCUCGACGUCGUCAGCUGCGGCGGCAAAGGCCUCAUCUUCGCGCCCUACGGUGAGCACUGGCGGCAGAUGCGCAAGGUCUGCGUAAUGGAGCUGCUCAGCGCGAGGCAGGUGCAGCGUAUCGAGUUCAUCAAGCAGGGCGAGGUCGCGCACCUUGUGGAGUCGGUCGCCGCCGCCUCGCCGUCCGGCUCCCCCAUCAUCGACGUCGGAAAGGGGCUGGCCAAACUGAGCAACAACAUAAUCGCGAGGGCGGUGUUCGGCGGAAAGUGUCGGCAGCAGGAGGAGUACCUCCGGGAGCUCGACACGGUGUCGAUGCUCGUGGGAGGGUUCAGCCCGGUGGACCUUUUCCCCUCGUCGCGGCUGGUGCGGUGGCUGAGCAGCGCGCCGCGCGACGUGCGGAGGAGCCACGCCCGGGUGCAGCGCAUCCUCGGGGACAUCAUCCAAGAGCGCAAGGAGAAAAAACCAAGUAAUGGCUCUGCUGGUGGUAGAGACGACGAAGACCUGCUCGACGUGCUCCUGAGGCUGCACAAGGAAGACACCCUCGGUUUCCCUCUGACGUCGGAGAUCAUCGGCGCCGUCGUCUUUGACAUAUUUGGAGCUGCUACCGACACGACGGCUGCCACGCUAGAAUGGGCCAUGGCAGAACUCAUCCGCAGCCCACACGCAAUGGCAAGAGCGAAACUCGAAGUCCGACAGAAGAAGCUAGGACAUGGCCGUGGGUCCACCGUCACCAGCGCGGACCUCGGCGACCUGCACUAUCUUCGGAUGGUCGUCAAGGAGACGCUAAGGCUGCACCCCUCCGCGGCGCUGAUCCACCGGGCGAGCCAGGAGAGCUGCCGGGUCAUGGGCUACGACAUACCCAAAGGCACCGCCGUCACGAUAAACGCCUUCGCGGUGGGGAGGGACCCGGUGCACUGGGGUGAGGACGCCGCGGAGUUCAGGCCGGAGAGGUUCGAGGAGGAGCUGAGCACCGUGGAGUACAGGCAGGGGCCGCAGAUGGAGUUCAUUCCAUUUGGAGCUGGCCGUAGGCAGUGCCCUGGAGCCCUGUUCGCGACCAAGACCAUCGAGCUCGUGCUGGCCAACCUCCUGUACCACUUUGACUGGACGGUUCCGGGUGGCGAGACGCUGGACAUGGGCGAGGUGUUUGGGAUCAUCGUGCACACCAGGUCCAGCCUACGCCUGCAGGCAGUGGUGGGUCGUCAUCUACAAGACCGCUAG